ensembl:lncRNA CCDC26 CCDC26 long non-coding RNA
ACGCUACAGUGCUACUGGCCCAUAAUCAGGCAACUGCAGAGUCUUAGGGGGUUAUCUAAUGUAGUCUUGGGGUGGCUGGAUAGACUUCCCAAAGAAGGUGAUGCCGAAGCUGAGGUCGGAAAUUACGAAGAUCAGCUAUCAAACUUGGAAAUCAUGUCUUAGAGAUCAAGGAGCCAAGAGAUGAGACAAGCCUGGGUUCCUAGGUGAUAGGGUGUGGCUGUGUCCCCACCCAAAUCUCGUCUUGAAUUGUAGCUCCCAUAAUCCCCACAUGUUGUGGAGGGACCCUGUGGAAGGUAAUUGAAUUAUGGAGAUCUUUAAUAAAUGAAAUAAAUGUGACUGUAUGUCCUACAUCCCAUUCCUGUUGUCUUCCAUGUCUCCUCAGAGAUUGUGCCUGCAGCCUGGCCUGUUGCCCACAGCGGUCUACCUGCCACACUGGGAAAGAUCGAGCAGAGACAGAGAAGAAAAGGAGGCUCCAUUUUUCAGGCUGCUCUCCCGCAGGCUCAUGUUUUGUGUUCAUGCCAGGCAGAGAACACAAAAUGUUCCAAUAAAUAAGUAUCAAAGCAUCUACUUGUUUCCAAAGUUAUUUGGGUCAGCAUUUUCCUCCACCCACCACUUAAAACUGAUUUGUUUCAUACAUUUGAAAUGUAUGAAAAGCCAGAAAUCCAGGACCCACCCUGGCCUGCUCCCUUUUUCUCACCUACUGUGUUAAGGAUAAGUCAAUUGAGCUUCACUUCUCUAAUUGAAAUCACCGUGCUGAUGGAGUCUGUCUGUGGAAAUGAAAGGUGGCUACCAUAAUCUGUUGGGAGUUGAAUUAAUCCUCUGGGAGUGAGGCUGACCUAAUUACUCAGAAAUACUGGGCUUGCUUUCAUUCUGUGGAAUACAGCCAUGAGAAAGAGGCCAGCAUGCCAUUUCCUAAUCUUUUCUUGAAUUGCCUGAAACUCACCUAACAUGAAACUGAGAAGCCUUUUCAUUUGAAAGUGGUAUUUCUUAUGUUUUUUAUCUUUUUGCUUGAAAGUAUUCUUAAACUAAAGAAAGGAGAAACAGAAAAGGUGAAGAAGCCAAGAGGCUGGAGUUUCCUUUUGAAUGGAUAUUCAUCCAUGAAGCUGUUGAUUCUGUUUUUCUGUUCCUCCAGAUGUCUACACUUUUACCUCUGCUUGCCUGAUACAACCACCACCAGUCACCUCACAGAAUAACUCACUCCUUAAGAAUCUGAUCAGGAAUCAGCCUUCCCUGAUCACAAACACUGAGUUUAGAAGUCCCUCCACAGUGUCCCCCGUAACCCUGUGCUACCUCACUGCCUCAUAGUUUAGUGCCGUUUGUGUACAUGCCUAUCUUCGUCCAUGGAUCCAGAACAACUUGUAAAAAUGACUGUACUUAUCACCUUCAGUAUUCAAUGACUAAACUAUAAUUUUAACAUAUCUGGCAGAAUGAAUCACUUGGGGAUUUCUGCCAACACUACCAAUAUAUUACUCCUAAUUUGUAAUUAUUACUUAGCAUGGAUUAUAGUACCGGCUGUUGGAGAGCCAAUGUGGCAGACCCUAAGUGGAAUAAAAUGUCAGUAGCAGUCUAGGAGCAUAUAUUUAUUGGAAUAGAUCAUUCAUUCAUUUGUUCAUUAACUAAUUUGUUCAUUAAAUAAACAUUUAUUAAGCACUCAUGGUUUAGGACGC